UUCGCGUUCAAGGUGAUUCUCACCGGAACUUUUUCGGGGUGUUGCAGAAACGCAUCUCAAUUGGGAUGUGUGCAAAAAUACAAGUUACACUUUGCGGCCACUGCUGAGUCACUCUAUCUCUCACUCGGUUUUUGUUAAAGAUUGGCCAUAAUCUCCAUAUUUGGGCGUAAAUGUGCUGCUUAUGCAUAGUUCUGAUGAGUAAUGUUAAAUCUAAGUCACUUUUGCUUACAACUCAAGAACUUAUCCAUUUUUAUGUGUAGGAGGAAGGGAUAUGAACAUAACGGCUACUUCACUUCAUCUCAGUGAAAUUUGCAAUUUCAAGUGGGAGCUUUAUUUUCACAACUCAAGUUAGAAAGUAAAGUUGGUGACCAGUUUUGCUAGGAUUGUAGGCUAUGAAAUCAUGGCCAUUUCAGGUGCACUUUUCAAUACCGAUUCAGUAGCUUUAUUGUUGGCAGAGUUGGUCUUCAUCUCAUAAUGUCGGUCAUUAUGAUGGUCUUGCCUUCUUAUUGUUGGUGUUCUGCUCUAUUUGCUACUCUUUAGGCUACUAAACGCUUGGUGCAAUUGCUUCCAGUUCCAGGUCCUCUUCCCAUACUGUAAGAAAUUAUAUUGUGCCAAAUGAUAUUGAUUCAGAUGAACUCAUAGAUGGCCACCAACGAAAAGAGACUUCAAACAAAAUUAAUACCGGCAUUUGAAUAAUAGUUCCCGCUUUGAUUUAUAAUUUCUGGCUGAUGAUGACUCUCCUACACCGGCAUUUGAAUUCCAUCCACGACUUUGCUAGCUAGGUGGUUAUUGAAUCCGUUCUCAUUCUUUCUUUCCUGGAUACCCUUAACUUGUAUCUCAUCACAACUGUUUUUGCAGAAAUAUAUCUAACCGUGUUAAGCUGUUCAAUAUCAUCAUCAUGAUCUUCCUUCACCUGUUGCUGGAUAUGUCAAUAUAAAGUAAUCAACUGAAAAUUCUGACUCAUCUAUCCAAACUAAUUGCCUGGAAAUCCCGAAACAGAAAAUUCAAUAUGCUAACCCAUUUCAUAUUCCAAUACUUUCUGCACUUGCUAAUAGAUUUAGUCAGUCAGACACGUUAGCAUUUACACACAGCAAUAGAUAACAGACAGACAUGUUCUUCGUUCAAAUCCAUUUGCAGAUUAGCAUUCAUACAGGACUGACAUAAUCAGAAGUUCGAUAAGGACUGGAUCAAUGAAGACUAAUCCUGAACUCAAUGCAGCAAUUGACAACAGAAUAAACAAAAGUACAAACCAAACAUACCUUGGACGACGAUAUCUCGUUUGCAUGUGGUUGAAAAAAUCUCCAAGCCAGAGACAGCUCUCUAAAGCCCUAAUCAAGUAGGAGACAAAAUUGAAGGCAAUAGAUCAGCAGCAGUAUGCAAUUUGAUCACCCAAAUGAUAUAGAAUUAAGUAAAGGAAAAAGUCUGAUCUCGUUACACCGCUUAAGCAAAAAUACCAAUUGAUUACCCGAGAGACAAUAUCUGUUAUCUUACUAGCUGGAGAUGGCAGGAUCCCAUCGGGCCUCGACUCCUUUCCGGCAAAAGAAGUUUCCUUACUCGCGGCAGAUGCCUCCAAUUCAGAUCCCACAUCAACAAUACGAUUCCUCCUUCUCCUCA
rnacentral:lncRNA from 1 species